CAGCAUCAGCCAUUUGGCAGUGGUGGCAAAUAGAGUGAGCAGAGACUAAAUAUCUGCCUUCCACUGACGGCCGUGAUAGUAAUAGAAAAUGCGUAAGGCGAACGUGUUCUCACAGGACCAUACAGGGAAAUGAAUCAUCCUGGAUCACACAUGUCUGAGAUCCUGAGCUUCACACCUUGGGUCAGAUGUGUGUUCUCAGCUGAGAAACUGAGCCGCAUUCUUGAGCAUGAGCCAGACGACUUGACAGAUGGGAGAAGGGAUUUCUUCAGGGUCUUCUCCUGAAAUAGCCAACAUCUUCUCCUCCAGCCCCUUUGCUUAGGCUGCCCGGUAGCCAUUUUAGACUGCACACAAAUGGAGAUGAUAUAAGCAACCUCUCACCUUCCGGAGAGCAGGACAAGAUGAAGAAGGAAGAUCUUCAAAAGUGAAAGGUUAAGAAAGACAAGUACACACCCAUAUACACACCAGUCCUACCAACGGUGACAGCAGGAAGAGAUGGCUAGCUCUUCCUCCAGAGCAGCUGUGAUGCAGACCCACCUGUCACCCAAGAAGGAGAAAAGUGAACAAGAGCUUCUGCCCUAGUGGAAUUGAAUUAACUCAUUAAGUCAAAAUUUCCAGAAUCUCUUUGCGCUUUGGUAUGUGCUGUUGUGCGUAACAUAUAAGUUAUGUAACACAUAACUCAAUAAAGACUUAUUGAUUUGACUUAAUCUCAAAACUGCA